GCUUGAAAUCCAACUGACAACUUCACUUCCAGCUGGGAGCCAGAGGAGAAAGGAAAACUUUCCCUGACAAGGAUAUGUUCUUGUGUUUCUACCCUGGUACAAGAAUUGACUCAGAUAUAACAAAGGAAAUCAUGAACAAGAGUGAAUUUGGAAAAAGAAGUAAUCUACAUCAGUGGAAACUAUUCCCUAAUUAAUGAGAUUACAAAUGCAUCUGGACAUUUUAGUUAAAAAACUUAUCAUACAAAAAAAAAAACCCUGCAAACUCUUUGAGGGUAGAGAUUAUCUUCAUAUUUCUUAUUUGUAUUAAAAUACCCAGUAAAGAGUAGAUAUUUAAUAAGUGAUUAUUAAAUUAAAUUGAAUUCCUACUUUAUCAUACACACAAGACAGCAUUGUAUUGUGUAUAGAGGACUGGUUUGAAAUCUAGAAAAUUUAUGUUCAAAUAGUUCUUCUGACACAUACUAGACUAGAAUAUAAAAACAAUAUCUUUGUUGGCUUACUCAGUGAUCUGGUAAGAAUAUAGUAUUUGAUCCAGGAGAUGAUGGUUUUAUUCUACCAGCAUAUAAUUGCAUGGAGUUAAACAAUCAAUUAAUAAGCAUUUACUAAGCACUUACUGAGUGCCAGGCAUUUUGCUAGGUCUUGGGGAUAACACUUCAAAAGUGGAAUCACCCUUGAUUUUAAAGUUACAAUCAAACCAGAUAAGACAACAUGUAUCUAUAGAUAUUUCAAAGUAGAUACGUAAGAGAUAUAAUGUAAUUUUUGGAAAAAUACUUGUAGGUUGGAGAAGUAAAUAAGUUUUAAUGUGGGAAGUUGCACACUGAAGGAAACUAGGGACUCUAAGAGAGGAGAUGAGAGAUUGGAUUCAAGAUUGACAUGGAAGACAACUAGAACAAAACAGUAAUUUGGAGAUACAGUUCUAUUCAUGAGGAGCAGUAAAAAGGUAAGUUUGACUGGUCCGUCCAUACUUGAAAGCUAAUAAAAUGUAACAAAGCUGUACUGGUGCA
rnacentral:lncRNA from 1 species